GUGAAUCAUAACACCUUUGUUGCGGUGUGUAUCUUAUUGGGAAGAAAAUCUGCGAAACGCAGCUCUUUUAAGAAGAGUUUGUUUUUUUUGUGAGUAAAAGAUGGAUUGAAGUGAACAGAAAGCAGAAGAAAGAAAGUCAUACACACCUGGGAUGGCAUGAGGUUUGGGAAGAACCUUUUUCUGUUCCAGCAUGACAAUGCCCUUGUGCACAAAGCGAGGUCAAUACAGAAAUGCUUACUUUUGUGGAAGAACUUGACAGCCCUGAUCUGAUACCAUUGACCACCUUGGGGAAAUUGGGAUGAAUUGGAAUGCCAAAUGCAAGCCAAGCCCCAUCAGCCAACAUCAUGCUAAACCUCACUGAUGCUCUUGUAACCAUGUUCUAAUAUCUAGUGGAAAGGCCUUCACAGAAUAGUGAAAGCUGUUAGGGAGGACCAAUGCAAUAUUCAUGCCAAUGAU